rnacentral:rRNA from 1 species
AUUGAACGCUGGCGGCAGGCCUAACACAUGCAAGUCGAACGAGUGGCGGACGGGUGAGUAAUGUCUGGGAAACUGCCUGAUGGAGGGGGAUAACUACUGGAAACGGUAGAUAAUACCGCAUACCAUCAGAUGUGCCCAGCUGGGUUUCGCUGGUUGGGGGGGUAACGGCUCACCAAGGCGACGAUCCCUAGCUGUUCUGAGAGGAUGACCGGCCACACUGGAACUGAGCCACGGUCCAGACUCCUACGGGAGGCAGCAGUGGGGAAUAUUGGACAAUGGGCGCAAGCCUGAUGCAGCCAUGCCGCGUGUGUGAAGAAGGUCUUCGGGUUGUAAAGUUCUGUCAGCGGGGAGGCGUUAGCCGCAGAAGAAGCACCGGCUAACUCCGUGCCAGCCGCCGCGGUAAUAC